rnacentral:lncRNA from 1 species
GGUAUUUUUCCUUAUUCUGUUUUAUAUUUAAAAUACGAUUCGUUCUUUAAUAUUCAUCAAAAAUGAAAAUUUAGGGUAUUUAGUAAAAUUUGCUUCUUUUAAUAGAGUUUUUUCUUAUAAAGAACUUCUAGCUCACAUUCUUUAUCAAAUUUGCAAUUGUAAAAAUAUAUUUAGUUAUUUCAGUAAAAUACAAAAAAUGACUAGAUUACACUAGAUGAUUUUCUAAAAAAACCAUCUAACAAUCAUAAGUGUCGAAAGGCUUAAAUCCUAGAAUUGGAAUAGUAAAGGAAAAAAGGAGUCAAAAGACUAUUUUGUCCCAUAUGAUAGUGCCUAUUACCAUAUUUUAGAUGAUUCCGUUUCUAAAGAGAUGCUUUAUACAUUUGACUUAUGUUUUUCUUAUCUUAAAUUUUUGUACCUAAGAAGUAAGAACUAUUUCACACUUUAUAAUCAACACAUGUAAAAUCAAUAAUUCCUUCUCUCAACAAUUGUGUAUUAGAAGUUCUAGUCUGAUAUUUAUGAUCCUUUUUAUAGUAACAGUUUCAUUCCUUUUUAGGGUGGGAUGUCUAAUGAGCUUUAUAACACAAUUGCACGUGCCACAGAUGGGAUAUAUGAAGGUUGGUUAGGAAGCUCUGAUGUACCGAUUUAAUCAUAUGUAAUGGUUUUAAAUUCAAAGAUCUAAUCAUUAAAACAAUGGAGAAAAGUGAUUCAUUUUUCACUUUUGUAGGCAUUGCCAUUGGUGGAGAUGUAUUUCCAGGUUCUACUCUUUCAGAUCACGUACUUCGUUAUAAUAAUAUCCCACAGGUAAUUUUAUUAUAUAUGAAUUGUUUUAUUAAUAUUUUAAAAAGAUUUAGAUUUAACAUUUCAAAAAUUUAGAAUUUCAACUUUAUGAUUAAACUAAAGCUUCAAUAAAACAUAUACUUUAAUCUGCCAAAGAAAGGCGUGCAUCUUUUUCAUGUCUUAUACGUGCCAUUUUAUUUUAUAGGUCAAAAUGAUUGUUGUUCUUGGAGAACUUGGUGGCAAAGAUGAGUACUCCUUGAUUGAAGCAUUGAAAGAGGGAAAAAUUCAAAAACCAGUCGUCGCUUGGGUUAGUGGUACAUGUGCUCGGCUCUUCAAGUCAGAAGUACAAUUUGGUCAUGCUGUGAGUGAAUACCAAUACUUGUUGAUUUCAAAUUAUUAUUAUUUUGUUAAUUUGCUAAUAAUAUUCAAUCUGAAAUUAGGGAGCUAAAAGUGGUGGUGAAUUGGAAUCAGCACAAGCAAAAAAUCAAGCAUUAAAAGAAGCAGGAGCCAUUGUUCCCACUUCAUAUGAAACUUUUGAAGGUGCUAUUAAAGAGACAUUUGAGAAAUUGGUAAGUCUUCAAAACCAUAUUCUCUCUCUUAUCUGUAGAUAUUCUGUGUAGUUUUUAACCCUUUCACAUCUAUAUUUUUAAGGUUGACGAGGGUAAGAUUGUUCCCAUUCAUGAAGUUACACCACCUCCCAUUCCUGAGGAUCUAAGCACUGCUAUUAAAAGUGGGAAAGUUCGAGCUCCUACAUAUUAUCUCAACAAUAUCUGAUGACAGAGGUUUGACGGAAGUUUUUCCACUAUUUUUUCCUGCUGUGUUUUAAAAGAAAAAGUUCAAUACAUAAUCUACCGAAUUUAUUUAAAUUUGUAGGAGAGGAACCUACUUAUGCUGGUGUCCCGAUGUCAACAAUUAUUGAGCAAGGAUUUGGUGUAGGUGACGUUAUAUCACUUCUGUGGUUCAAGCGUAGCCUUCCUCGUUAUUGCACAAAAUUUAUCGAAGUGAGUAUUCUUUGAACAAAAUUAAGGAUUUAUGUGUGAAUCAUUCCAUUUUUUCUUGAUUAUCCAAAUAGUUGGCAUAAUAUAAUUAUAUAACCCAUGUGAGUUUCUAUAUCAAUUUCUAUACUGCAAUUUUUCAAAGUUUUUUCUUAUUGAAAUUGAUGGGUUUUCACCAGAUCUGCAUCAUGCUCUGUGCUGAUCAUGGCCCAUGUGUCUCUGGUGCCCACAACACUAUUGUCACAGCAAGAGCUGGAAAAGACUUAGUAUCUAGUCUUGUAUCAGGUAAUGCAAAUAGUUGAACCAGGCUAUUGCCAAAAUCACCAUUUUUUGUUUAUUCAAUGCAGUACAGUACAAAUAAAAAUAAAUGAUGUUUGAACCAGGCUUACUCACGAUUGGUCCUCGAUUUGGUGGUGCAAUUGAUGAUGCUGCUCGAUACUUUAAGGAUGCAGUUGAUCGGGUAUAUUGACAUUUAUGGAUUUAAAGCUUCAUAUAUGUUUUCUAAAUUGUUAUUUAAUGUCUUAUCAGGCUCUCACACCUUAUGAAUUUGUGGAAGGUAUGAAAAAGAAGGGCAUUAGGGUACCGGGAAUCGGACAUAGGUAUAAACUGUUCAUUGAAUGCAAUACUUUGAAUUCAAUGAAUGUUUUGUUAUAGAUGUUCACCAAUUUUAGAUAAGCUAUAUUGUCUACAAAUAAAAACAUUACUGAAUAGAUAAUUUAAAAUUUAAGGAUACAAAGCUACUAAAAAAUGACAUCUAGAUUUUUUAAAGUUAAUUUUAAAAUGAUAUUAUGUGAUGAAUUUUUAAAUAAUCCGUAAGGAAUGUUAUUAUAUUUAUUACAUAUGAUGCAAUGCAAAUUAAUAACAUUUCGAAGCUUUGGUCAUUAAUUUUUUUUCCACGAAUUAUAAACACUAUCUGAAAUCCAUUCAUCUUUGUAAAUUUGCAUCAAUAUUUGAACCAUAGUUUCUUUCAUUUUAGGUUCAUUUCCCUGUAUGUAAAAUAUUUCGUUGCAAAUAGUGAAAAUUCAAUUUGUUUGGUAGAAAAUAUUAAUUCAGAACAUAUUUGAAAAAUGUCUUGGUACUUAACAGGAUUAAGAGAGCAGACAACAGGGACAAGAGAGUUGAGUUGUUGCAAGAAUAUGCACGUACACAUUUCCCUUCUGUGAAGCAUAUGGAAUAUGCUGUUCAAGUUGAGACGUAUACCUUGUCAAAGGCAAAUAACUUGGUUCUGAAUGUUGAUGGUGCAAUUGGGUCACUUUUCUUGGAUCUGCUUGCUAGCAGUGGUAUGUUUAACAAGCAAGAAAUCGAUGAAAUUGUUGAGAUUGGAUAUCUUAAUGGAUUGUUUGUAUUGGCGCGGUCGAUUGGUCUUAUUGGGUAAGUUGGAUCGUAUGUAUAUAUAUGCAUUUUCUUUCUGAACAGAAUUCCAGUUGUGAUUUCAUUUGAUAUAAUUUCACUCACUUUUUCUGUAUUGAACUCCUCAGGCAUACAUUUGAUCAGAAAAGAAUGAAGCAGCCUCUGUACCGCCACCCUUGGGAAGAUGUUCUCUAUACCAAGUAAUUAAACUAUUUAUUGAAACCAAUAACGUUAUAUUUUCCCUUCUGCAUUAUUGCUACAGACAAUUUUAGCUUUGCCCACUAUAAGUUAAAAUAGCACAUUCUAGAAAGCAAAUUCUGGGUAGAUUUUGGCAAGUAUCGACCUUUGCUUUUGUUUUGAUUUCACUGGAUGCCUUUAAUAUUUAUUCGUAAUUUUAUUCAAUUUACUUGGUUCAAAUAAAAGUAUAAAACUAAGUAUUGUUGUAUUUUAGUUAUUAAUUAGUGUUUGAGUUGAAACGUUAAAUAAAUUGGGUAGAAAGUAGAAUUCAGGAGUCAAUGGUAAUUAAUUAGUCAAAUACUCAAAUUUAGUUAGCAAGGAUUGAAUUGUUUAGGCUCUAUUUAAACAUGUAAGAUCAUGCAGAACUAACCUCAGGUGAGAUUCAAUUUAAGAUUUCAGCGCGCCCUCUUUUAUUUAUCGAAAUCUUCUCCAUUUUAAAAUUAAAUAACAAUUAAUAUUGAGAAUCUUUGAAUCAAAAAUCAAAAGUGCGAUCAUUAGAUAUCUUACAAUACAUAUCUCAGUAGAAGCUUGCCCAGCCCAAAUUCACUCGGCUAAGAACUCAGAAGUAUAAAUAUUUUUAACAAUAUAAGAUAUCAUAUUUCAGAUAUUCAUAAGAUAUCUCUAUUAAUUCUCUACCGUCUAUGUAUUUUCAUUAAAAUUUAAUGAUACAUAGAGUCAUAGAGAUUGUGUCAAACUUAUAAUUAAAAAAUAAAAAUGAUUAAAUAAUCUCUUACGAUCCUUGAAUUCCUCUUAGAUCGAGCUAAGUUGAUUGAUAAACGCUGAAAGCAUCCUCCUUAAUUUCUCUCGAUUGACAGACCAUUUACAUUUUGACAAAUAGAUUCAUGUGAAUAUGCCAUGAUUGAUGGGUAGUAAAUCAAACAAAUAAUCGACCAUAAGAAAACGAAGCUACACCUACCCUUACAUUUAUUGAUAACAUACGCUUAAAUAAAGUCAAAUACUUACGAUAAUAAUAUAUAUAUAACCAGAUAAAACAACGCGUACGUGUCUUACACACUUCAAACUUAUCUUAUCCAAAAUCAAAUUCAGAGUUCACACGUCCAAUUUUCAAUAAUCUUCCGGAUUUCUUGUGGACCGCUAGCUGUACAAACAACGAAGUCGAUCGAUUAUCA